GCAGCAGCCGCGGUAAAACGUAGGGGGCAAGCGUUGUCCGGAAUCAUUGGGCGUAAAGAGCGUGUAGGCGGCUCGGUAAGUCCGCUGUGAAAGUCCAGGGCUCAACCCUGGAAUGCCGGUGGAAACUGUCGAGCUAGAGUCCGGAAGAGGCGAGUGGAAUUCCUGGUGUAGCGGUGAAAUGCGCAGAUAUCAGGAGGAACACCAAUGGCGAAGGCAGCUCGCUGGGACGGUACUGACGCUGAGACGCGAAAGCGUGGGGAGCAAACAGGAUUAGAUACCCCGGUAGUCCCUGUCUCUUAUAC
rnacentral:rRNA from 1 species